rnacentral:rRNA from 1 species
GAUUGAACGCUGGCGGUAUGCUUAACACAUGCAAGUCGAACGGAAACGAUACUAGCUUGCUAGUAGGCGUCGAGUGGCGGACGGGUGAGUAACGCGUAGGAAUCUGCCUGAUAGUGGGGGAUAGCCCGAAGAAAUUCGGAUUAAUACCGCAUAAUCUAUUCGUAGUAAAGUGGGGGACUUUCGAGCCUCACGCUAUCAGAUGAGCCUGCGUAAGAUUAGCUAGUUGGUAGGGUAAAAGCCUACCAAGGCUACGAUCUUUAGCUGGUCUGAGAGGAUGAUCAGCCACAUCGGGACUGAGACACGGCCCGAACUCCUACGGGAGGCAGCAGUGGGGAAUAUUGGACAAUGGGGGCAACCCUGAUCCAGCAAUACCGCGUGUGUGAAGAAGGCCUGAGGGUUGUAAAGCACUUUCAAUUGUGAAGAAAAGUUAACGGUUAAUAACCGUUAGCCUUGACGUUAACUUUAGAAGAAGCACCGGCUAACUCCGUGCCAGCAGCCGCGGUAAUACGGAGGGUGCAAGCGUUAAUCGGAAUUACUGGGCGUAAAGCGUGCGUAGGCGGUUUAUUAAGUCAGAUGUGAAAGCCCCGGGCUUAACCUGGGAACUGCAUUUGAAACUGGUCAACUAGAGUAUGGUAGAGGAAAGUGGAAUUUCUGGUGUAGCGGUGAAAUGCGUAGAUAUCAGAAGGAACAUCAAUGGCGAAGGCAGCUUUCUGGACCAAUACUGACGCUGAGGUACGAAAGCGUGGGUAGCAAACAGGAUUAGAUACCCUGGUAGUCCACGCCGUAAACGAUGAUAACUAGCCGUUGGGGGGAUUUACCCUUUAGUGGCGAAGCUAACGCGUUAAGUUAUCCGCCUGGGGAGUACGGCCGCAAGGUUAAAACUCAAAGGAAUUGACGGGGACCCGCACAAGCGGUGGAGCAUGUGGUUUAAUUCGAUGCAACGCGAAGAACCUUACCCGGUCUUGACAUCCUGCGAACUUUCUAGAAAUAGAUUGGUGCCUUCGGGAACGCAGUGACAGGUGCUGCAUGGCUGUCGUCAGCUCGUGUCGUGAGAUGUUGGGUUAAGUCCCGUAACGAGCGCAACCCCUAUCCUUAUUUGCCAGCACGUCAUGGUGGGAACUAUAAGGAGACUGCCGGUGAUAAACCGGAGGAAGGCGGGGACGACGUCAAGUCAUCAUGGCCCUUACGACCAGGGCUACACACGUGCUACAAUGGGAAGGACAAAGAGCCGCGAAGCCGCGAGGUGUAGCUAAUCUCAGAAACCUUUUCGUAGUCCGGAUUGGAGUCUGCAACUCGACUCCAUGAAGUCGGAAUCGCUAGUAAUCGUAGAUCAGAAUGCUACGGUGAAUACGUUCCCGGGUCUUGUACACACCGCC